rnacentral:rRNA from 1 species
GCAUGCCUACAACAUAGCGUUAAUGCACCAGAUCCCAUUAGAACUCCGCAUUUAAGCACGCUCGAGCUGGAGUAGUAUUGGGAUGGGUGACCGCCCAGGAAGUCCUAGUAUUUUACAUGCC